rnacentral:rRNA from 1 species
AUUGAACGCUGGCGGCAUGCUUUACACAUGCAAGUCGAACGGUAACAGGGUGCUUGCACCGCUGACGAGUGGCGAACGGGUGAGUAAUGCGUCGGAACGUGCCGAGUAGUGGGGGAUAACGCAUCGAAAGGUGUGCUAAUACCGCAUACGUACUGAGGUAGAAAGUGGGGGACCUUCGGGCCUCACGCUAUUCGAGCGGCCGACGUCUGAUUAGCUAGUUGGUGAGGUAAAGGCUCACCAAGGCGACGAUCAGUAGCGGGUCUGAGAGGAUGAUCCGCCACACUGGGACUGAGACACGGCCCAGACUCCUGCGGGAGGCAGCAGUGGGGAAUUUUGGACAAUGGGCGCAAGCCUGAUCCAGCCAUGCCGCGUGUCUGAAGAAGGCCUUCGGGUUGUAAAGGACUUUUGUCCGGGAGCAAAUACCCAGUGCUAAUAACGCUGGGGGCUGAGAGUACCGGAAGAAUAAGCACCGGCUAACUACGUGCCAGCCGCCGCUGUAAAAC